AACGCGAAGAACCUUACCAGGUCUUGACAUCCCGAUGCUAUUUCUAGAGAUAGAAAGUUACUUCGGUACAUCGGUGACAGGUGGUGCAUGGUUGUCGUCAGCUCGUGUCGUGAGAUGUUGGGUUAAGUCCCGCAACGAGCGCAACCCCUAUUGUUAGUUGCCAUCAUUCAGUUGGGCACUCUAGCGAGACUGCCGGUAAUAAACCGGAGGAAGGUGGGGAUGACGUCAAAUCAUCAUGCCCCUUAUGACCUGGGCUACACACGUGCUACAAUGGUUGGUACAACGAGUUGCGAGUCGGUGACGGCGAGCUAAUCUCUUAAAGCCAAUCUCAGUUCGGAUUGUAGGCUGCAACUCGCCUACAUGAAGUCGGAAUCGCUAGUAAUCGCGGAUCAGCACGCCGCGGUGAAUACGUUCCCGGGCCUUGUACACACCG
rnacentral:rRNA from 1 species